rnacentral:lncRNA from 1 species
AAGGAAUUGCCCUGUAGAUUCCGGAGAGGGGCGGGGAGAGGGAAGGGGUGUUGCCCUUGACUCCCUUGAAGUUCAAAGUUCUUUUUUGCUCUGGUGAGGAAAAACCCCCUCUGCCUUCAACCCACUCGAGAAAUCAGCCUCAGGCAGCGCCGCGGCUGGAGGGGAUUACCCGAAGAGGUUGAGCCCAGAGUGCCCCUGACCGGCAAGGGCGGGGUUGGACAUCCCAGGGGCCCGGAGGUGGGUUUGUUUGGGGGACAGAGACCUCUUUUUUCCCCUAACUUUUAGAGGGUCACCCAGGACUGGCAGGUUCCUGGGCUUGAAUCCUAGAAGCUUUUGUUUUUCUUUCACUAUGUCACUCUGCGUUUUCCUUCAGAAAUCCUUCUAGAGCCGGGGACCUUUUCU